rnacentral:rRNA from 1 species
GAUGAACGCUGGCGGCGUGCCUAAUACAUGCAAGUCGAGCGAACAGACGAGGAGCUUGCUCCUCUGACGUUAGCGGCGGACGGGUGAGUAACACGUGGAUAACCUACCUAUAAGACUGGGAUAACUUCGGGAAACCGGAGCUAAUACCGGAUAAUAUAUUGAACCGCAUGGUUCAAUAGUGAAAGACGGUUUUGCUGUCACUUAUAGAUGGAUCCGCGCCGCAUUAGCUAGUUGGUAAGGUAACGGCUUACCAAGGCAACGAUGCGUAGCCGACCUGAGAGGGUGAUCGGCCACACUGGAACUGAGACACGGUCCAGACUCCUACGGGAGGCAGCAGUAGGGAAUCUUCCGGAAAGGGCGAAAGCCUGACGGAGCAACGCCGCGUGAGUGAUGAAGGUCUUCGGAUCGUAAAACUCUGUUAUUAGGGAAGAACAAAUGUGUAAGUAACUAUGCACGUCUUGACGGUACCUAAUCAGAAAGCCACGGCUAACUACGUG